rnacentral:rRNA from 1 species
GACGUGAUCAUUACCGAGUUUACGGCUCCCAACCCAAUGCUGAAGCGUUACCAAACUGUUGCCUCGGCGGGGUCACGCCCCGGGUGCGUCGCAGCCCCGGAACCAGGCGCCCGCCGGAGGAACCAACCAAACUCUUUCUGUAGUCCCCUCGCGGACGUAUUUCUUACAGCUCUGAGCAAAAAUUCAAAAUGAAUCAAAACUUUCAACAACGGAUCUCUUGGUUCUGGCAUCGAUGAAGAACGCAGCGAAAUGCGAUAAGUAAUGUGAAUUGCAGAAUUCAGUGAAUCAUCGAAUCUUUGAACGCACAUUGCGCCCGCCAGUAUUCUGGCGGGCAUGCCUGUCCGAGCGUCAUUUCAACCCUCGAACCCCUCCGGGGGAUCGGCGUUGGGGAUCGGGACCCCUCACACGGGUGCCGGCCCCGAAAUACAGUGGCGGUCUCGCCGCAGCCUCUCCUGCGCAGUAGUUUGCACAACUCGCACCGGGAGCGCGGCGCGUCCACGUCCGUAAAACACCCAACUUUCUGAAAUGUUGACCUCGGGAUCAGGUAGAAUACCCGCUGAACUUAAGCAUAUCAAGAAAGCGAGAGAAAUAAGCGGAGGAG